GACGAACGCUGGCGGCGUGCUUAACACAUGCAAGUCGAACGGAAAGGCCCUGCUUUUGUGGGGUGCUCGAGUGGCGAACGGGUGAGUAACACGUGAGUAACCUGCCCUUGACUUUGGGAUAACUUCAGGAAACUGGGGCUAAUACCGGAUAGGAGCUCCUGCUGCAUGGUGGGGGUUGGAAAGUUUCGGCGGUUGGGGCUGGACUCGCGGCUUAUCAGCUUGUUGGUGGGGUAGUGGCUUACCAAGGCUUUGACGGGUAGCCGGCCUGAGAGGGUGACCGGCCACAUUGGGACUGAGAUACGGCCCAGACUCCUACGGGAGGCAGCAGUGGGGAAUAUUGCACAAUGGGCGGAAGCCUGAUGCAGCAACGCCGCGUGCGGGAUGACGGCCUUCGGGUUGUAAACCGCUUUCGCCUGUGACGAAGCGUGAGUGACGGUAAUGGGUAAAGAAGCAACGGCUAACUACGUG
rnacentral:rRNA from 1 species